rnacentral:rRNA from 1 species
GAGUAAGUGAAUAAGGGCGCACGGGGGAUGCCUAGGCUCUCAGAGGCGAGGAAGGACGUGAUAAGCUGCGAAAAGCUACGGGGAUUGGCCAAUGCGAGUUGAUCCGUAGAUAUCCGAAUGGGGCAACCCAGUCUUAAAGACUAUCCUGUAAAGGAAGCGAACGUGGGGAACUGAAACAUCUAAGUACCCAUAGGAGGAGAAAAUAAUAAUGAUUCCGUAAGUAGUGGCGAGCGAACGCGGAAGAGCCCAAACCGUUCAUGUUACGGCAUGAACGGGGUUGUAGGACCUGUAUAAUCAAAGACAACGAGACGAGAACGGCAUGGGAAGGCCGACCGAAGGAGGUGAGAGUCCUGUAUUGGAAUUGUUGUUAGCGAGACGGGUAUCCUGAGUAGGUCGGGACCGGAGGAAUCCCGAUUGAAACUGCCAGCACCAUCUGGUAAGGCUAAAUACUCCUGAGAGACCGAUAGUGAACUAGUACCGUGAGGGAAAGGUGAAAAGUACUCCGAAUAGGAGGGUGAAAUAGAACCUGAAACCGUGCGCUUACAAGCGGUCGGAGCUGCGCGAUGCAGUGACGGCGUGCCUUUUGCAUAAUGAGCCUACGAGUUACUCCUCAUCGGCAAGGGUAAGGUAUUCAGUACCGUACCCGGAGCGAAAGCGAGUCUGAAAGGGCGUUUGAGUCGGUGGGGGUAGACGCGAAACUUAGUGAUCUACCCAUGGCCAGGUUGAAGUUGUGGUAACACACAAUGGAGGACCGAACCGAUAAACGUUGAAAAGUUUCCGGAUGAGCUGUGGGUAGGGGUGAAAGGCUAAUCAAACUGAGAAAUAGCUCGUACUCCCCGAAAUGUUUUUAGGAACAGCGUCGGGAAUUGUAUGACGGAGGUAGAGCUACCGAUAGGACUAGGGGGAGUCAAAUCCUACCAAAUCCUGACGAACUCCGAAUGCCGUCAUACAGAACCGGCAGUGAGGGCUGGGGUGCUAAGGUCCCAGUCCGAGAGGGAAAGAACCCAGACCUUCCGCUAAGGUCCCCAAAUCUAUGUUAAGUUGAACAAAGGUGGUCCAGUUGCAGAGACAGCCAGGAGGUUAGCUUGGAAGCAGCUAUUCCUUUAAAGAGUGCGUAACAGCUCACUGGUCGAGCGACAGGGCGUCGAUAAUAAUCGGGCAUCAAACAUAGUACCGAAGCGAAGGAUUGAUAGUAAUAUCAGUGGUAGGGGAGCAUUCCAACGACGGAGAAGGUACAGCGUCAGCUGUGCUGGAGUUUUUGGAAAAGCAAAUGUAGGCAUAAGUAACGAUAAUGCGGGCGAGAAACCCGCACACCGUAAGACCCAGGUUUCCUGAUCAACGCUAAUCGGAUCAGGGUUAGUCGGGACCUAAGGCGAACCCGAAGGGGGUAGUCGAUGGCAAAUGGGUUAAUAUUCCCAUACUAAUUAUACAGGUGAUGGAGCGACGGAGUGAUGAAAGAUCCGCGCGGUGACGGAAUACCGCGUUAAAGGUAGUAGGUAUUGGACCCAUAGUUAAAUGCGUGGGUUUAGCCGAAGCUGAUAGUACCGAGCGUUUACGGACAAUCGGAUAGUGAUCCUAAGGGCUUCCAAGAAAAACUUCUAGCGUUAAGCGUAUAAUUACCCGUACCGCAAACCGACACAGGUGGUCGAGGAGAGUAUCCUAAGGUGCUCGAGUGAAUCAUGGCUAAGGAACUCGGCAAAAUAGCCCUGUAACUUCGGGAGAAGGGGCGCCCCGAGCAAUCGGGGCCGCAGUGAAGAGGCCCAGGCGACUGUUUAACAAAAACACAUGGCUUUGCAAAGUUUAACGACUAAGUAUAAGGCCUGACACCUGCCCGGUGCUGGAAGGUUAAGAGGGGAUGUCAUCGCAAGAGAAGCAUUGAAUCGAAGCCCCAGUAAACGGCGGCCGUAACUAUAACGGUCCUAAGGUAGCGAAAUUCCUUGUCGGGUAAGUUCCGACCUGCACGAAUGGUGUAACGAUCUGGGCACUGUCUCAGCCAUGAGCUCGGUGAAAUUGUAGUCGCGGUGAAGAUGCCGCGUACCCGCAACGGGACGGAAAGACCCCAUGCACCUUUACUGCAGCUUAGCAUUGGUACUGGACAAAUGAUGUGUAGGAUAGGUGGGAGACU